UGGACCUCNAAUCAGGUAGGACUACCCGCUGAACUUA
rnacentral:rRNA from 1 species